rnacentral:rRNA from 1 species
GACGAACGCUGGCGGCGUGCUUAACACAUGCAAGUCGAGCGGUAAGGCCCUUUCGGGGGUACACGAGCGGCGAACGGGUGAGUAACACGUGGGUGACCUGCCCUCAGCUCUGGGAUAAGCCUGGGAAACUGGGUCUAAUACUGGAUAUGACUCCACGGUGCAUGUCGUGGGGUGGAAAGCCUUGUGCGGCUGAGGAUGGGCCCGCGGCCUAUCAGCUUGUUGGUGGGGUGANGGCCUACCAAGGCGACGACGGGUAGCCGGCCUGAGAGGGCGACCGGCCACACUGGGACUGAGACACGGCCCAGACUCCUACGGGGGCAGCAGUGGGGAAUCUUGCGCAAUGGGCGAAAGCCUGACGCAGCGACGCCGCGUGAGGGAUGAC